rnacentral:rRNA from 1 species
AGUGAACGCUGGCGGUAGGCCUAACACAUGCAAGUCGAACGGCAGCACAGUAAGAGCUUGCUCUUACGGGUGGCGAGUGGCGGACGGGUGAGGAAUACAUCGGAAUCUACUUUUUCGUGGGGGAUAACGUAGGGAAACUUACGCUAAUACCGCAUACGACCUACGGGUGAAAGCAGGGGAUCUUCGGACCUUUCGCGAUUGAAUGAGCCGAUGGCGGAUUAGCUAGUUGGCGGGGUAAAGGCCCACCAAGGCGACGACCCGUAGCUGGUCUGAGAGGAUGAUCAGCCACACUGGAACUGAGACACGGUCCAGACUCCUACGGGAGGCAGCAGUGGGGAAUAUUGGACAAUGGGCGCAAGCCUGAUCCAGCCAUACCGCGUGGGUGAAGAAGGCCUUCGGGUGGUAAAGCCCUGUUGUUGGGAAAGAAAAGCAGCAGGUUAAUACCCCGCUGUUCUGACGGUACCCAAAGAAUAAGCACCGGCUAACUUCGUG